rnacentral:ncRNA from 1 species
GGACCUGAUAUCAGGCAAGACAACCCGCUGAAUUUAAGCAUAUAACUAAGCGGAGGAAAAGAAACUAACAAGGAUUCCCCUAGUAACGGCGAGUGAAGCGGGAAGAGCUCAAGCUUGAAAUCUCCGCACAAGUUUUGUGUGGCGAAUUGUAGUCUAUAGAAGCGAUGUCAGCAUAGCUGCUC